rnacentral:rRNA from 1 species
GACAGAUGUGAAAUCCCCUGGCUUAACCUGGGAACUGCAUUUGUGACUGCGAGACUAGAGUGUAGCAGAGGGGGGUAGAAUUCCACGUGUAGCAGUGAAAUGCGUAGAUAUGUGGAGGAAUACCGAUGGCGAAGGCAGCCCCCUGGGCUAACACUGACGCUCAUGCACGUAAGCGUGGGGAGCAAACAGGAUUAGAUACCCUGGUAGUCCACGCCCUAAACGAUGUCAACUAGGUGUUGGGGAAGGAGACUUCUUUAGUACCGCAGCUAACGCGUGAAGUUGACCGCCCGGGGAGUACGGUCGCAAGAUUAAAACUCAAAGGAAUUGACGGGGACCCGCACGAGCGGUGGAUUAUGUGGAUUAAUUCGAUGCAACGCGAAAAACCUUACCUACCCUUGACAUGCCAGGAAGAUUUCAGAGAUGAGAUUGUGCCCGAAAGGGAACCUGGACACAGGUGCUGCAUGGCUGUCGUCAGCUCGUGUCGUGAGAUGUUGGGUUAAGUCCCGCAACGAGCGCAACCCUUGUCAUUAAUUGCCAUCAUUCAGUUGGGCACUUUAAUGAGACUGCCGGUGAUAAACCGGAGGAAGGUGGGGAUGACGUCAAGUCCUCAUGGCCCUUAUGGGUAGGGCUUCACACGUAAUACAAUGGUCGGUACAGAGGGUUGCCAACCCGCGAGGGGGAGCCAAUCCCAGAAAGCCGAUCGUAGUCCGGAUUGUAGUCUGCA